AGAUUAAGCCAUGCAGGUCCAAGUACGUGCCUUCCGGAAACGAGAAAAGGCGAAACCGCGAAUGGCUCAUUAAAUCAGAUGUGGUUCCUUGGAGCUUACCCGACUACUUGGAUAACCGUGGCAAUUCCAGAGCUAAUACAUGCACGUAAAGCCCCGACCCGCCUCUCGGGGCGGGGAUGACGGGCGCAGUUAUUAGACCUAGACCGGUGGUACCGAGCUUCCUCCCCGUCUCUCCCUCGCACGGGAGUCGCGGGGGCGGUCUGCCAGGCGCCUCACCCGGCGGUGACUCUGUAUAACGUCGCGGAUCGCACGGGCUCUACGUCCCGGCGACCCAUCCUUCGAGCGUCUGCCUUAUCAACUUUCGACGGUAGGCCACGUGCCAACCGUGGUCGUAACGGGUGACGGGGAAUCAGGGUUCGAUUCCGGAGAGGGAGCCCGAGAAACGGCUACCACAUCCAAGGAAGGCAGCAGGCACGCAAAUUACCCACUCCCGGCACGGGGAGGUAGUGACGAAAAAUAACGAUACGGGACUCUUACGAGACCCCGUAGUCGGAAUGAGCUCGAUCCAAACAGCCGCACGAGGAUCGAUCGGAGGGCAAGUCUGGUGCCAGCAGCCGCGGUAACCCCAGCUCCGAUAGCGUAUAUUAAAGUUGCUGCGGUUAAAAAGCUCGUAGUCGGAUUCGAUUGGGUGCCCCGCAUCCCCGGCUUUUACCGUCGGGCGACCAGCGGCGGUUUCCCUUCUGAAAGACUGCCGUGCGCCGUCGAUGAUCUUGACCGGUCGUCUUCGGGACGGUACGGCGCCUUCACCUUGAAAAAAUCUAAGUGCUCAAGGCAGGCCCACAAAAACGAAGCUCGGACGUGUGUGCAUGGAAUGAUGGAACAGGACCUCGGUUCUGCUCUGCCGGUUUCUAACGGAACCCGAGGUAAUGAUCGAGAGGAACGGACGGGGGCAUCCGUACUGCGACGCUAGAGGUGAAAUUCUUGGACCGUCGCAUGACGAACGACUGCGAAAGCAUUUGCCAAGGAUGCUUCCUUUGAUCAAGAACGAAAGUCAGAGUUUCGAAGGCGAUCAGAUACCGCCCUAGUUCUGACCGUAAACGAUGCCAGCCAGCGAUCCGGCUGCGUUCUCAAACGACGCGCCGGGAAGCUUCCGGGAAACCAGAGCCUUCGGGUUCCGGGGGAAGUAUGGUUGCAAAACUGGAACUUAAAGGAAUUGACGGAUGGUCACUACCAGACAUGGAGCCUGCGGCUCAAUUCGACUCAACACUGGGAAACUCACCCGGCCCGGACACGGGAAGGAUUGACAGACUGACGGACCUUUCUUGAUUCUGUGGGUGGUGGUGCAUGGUCGCCCUUAGUUGGUGGAGCGAUUUGUCUGGUCUAUUCCGAUAACGAGCGAGGCUCCGACCUGCUAAAUAGGAAGCCCCGGUCGACGCCGGAGGUUCGUAAGUCUCUUCUUAGAGGGACGGGCGGUGUCCAGCCGCACGAGACGGAGCGAUGGCAGGUCUGUGAUGCCCUUAGAUGUCCGGGGCCGCACGCGCGCUACAUUGAAGGGGCCAGCGCGCGCCCUCUCCCUGCCGGAGACGGCCGGGUAACCGCACGAGUCCCCUUCGUGCUGGGGACAGGGGACUGGAAUUGUCCCCCUCGAACGAGGAAUGCCUAGUAGGCGCGGAUCACCAGUCCGUGCCGAAUACGUCCCUGGCCAUUGUCCACACCGCCUGUCGCUACGAUCGAUCGAACGGUUCAGCGAGGUAGUCGGACCGGCUGCGGCUUCCUCGACGCCUGCCUCCUCACGGUGCGCGGGUAGAAGGGCGGCUGCGUGCCGGAAAGUCUUCCGAACUCGAUCGUUUAGAG
rnacentral:rRNA from 1 species